rnacentral:rRNA from 1 species
UACGAAGGGGGCUAGCGUUGUUCGGAAUUACUGGGCGUAAAGCGCACGUAGGCGGACUAUUAAGUCAGGGGUGAAAUCCCGGGGCUCAACCCCGGAACUGCCUUUGAUACUGGUAGUCUCGAGUCCGGAAGAGGUGAGUGGAAUUCCGAGUGUAGAGGUGGAAUUCGUAGAUAUUCGGAGGAACACCAGUGGCGAAGGCGGCUCACUGGUCCGGUACUGACGCUGAGGUGCGAAAGCGUGGGGAGCAAACAGG